rnacentral:rRNA from 1 species
CCAAUAGCGUAUAUUAAAGUUGUUGCAGUUAAAAAGCUCGUAGUUGAAUUUCGGGAUCAAUAUAUUGGUCGUGCCUCCGGUAUGCACUGGUAUCAUUGAUUUCUACCUUCUGACGAACUAUGAUGUCAUUAAUUUGGUGUCAUGGGGAAUCAGGACUGUUACUUUGAAAAAAUUAGAGUGUUUAAAGCAGGCACACGCUUGAAUACAUUAGCAUGGAAUAAUGAAAUAGGACGUUUGACCCUAUUUUGUUGGUUUCUAGGAUCGACGUAAUGAUUAAUAGGGAUAGUUGGGGGCAUUAGUAUUCAAUUGUCAGAGGUGAAAUUCUUGGAUUUAUUGAAGACUAACUACUGCGAAAGCAUUUGCCAAGGAUGUUUUCAUUAAUCAAGAACGAAAGUUAGGGGAUCGAAGACGAUCAGAUACCGUCGUAGUCUUAACCAUAAACUAUGCCGACUAGGGAUCGGAUGAUGUUAAUUUUUUAAUGACUCAUUCGGCGCCUUACG